rnacentral:hammerhead_ribozyme from 1 species
GCUGACGAGUCCCAAACAGGACGAAACGUGUGUCC